AUUUCGGUCAAAUCUUGAAGCAUUCUAGUGGCGGACGGGUGAGUAACGCGUGGGUAACCUGCCCUGUACAGGGGGACAACAGUUGGAAACGACUGCUAAUACCGCAUAAGCGCACAGCUUCGCAUGAAGCAGUGUGAGAAACUCCGGUGGUACAGGAUGGACCCGCGUCUGAUUAGAUAGUUGGUGAGGUAACGGCCCACCAAGUCAACGAUCAGUAGCCGGCCUGAGAGGGCGAACGGCCACAUUGGGACUGAGACACGGCCCAAACUCC
rnacentral:rRNA from 1 species